rnacentral:rRNA from 1 species
AGCAGCCGCGGUAAUUCCAGCUCCAAUAGCGUAUAUUAAAGUUGUUGCAGUUAAAAAGCUCGUAGUUGAAUUUCGGGAUCAGUGGGUCGGUCGUGCCACUGGUAUGCACUGGCCCUACUGGUUCCUCCUUCUUGAAGAACUGUAAUGCCAUUAAUUUGGUGUUGCAGGGAAACAGGACUGUUACUUUGAAAAAUUAGAGUGUUUAAAGCAGGCAAUCGCUUGAAUACAUUAGCAUGGAAUAAUGAAAUAGGACGAUCGAUCCUAUUUUGUUGGUUUCUAGGAUUGACGUAAUGAUUAAUAGGGAUAGUUGGGGGCAUUAGUAUUCAAUUGUCAGAGGUGAAAUUCUUGGAUUUAUUGAAGACUAACUACUGCGAAAGCAUUUGCCAAGGAUGUUUUCAUUAAUCAAGAACGAAAGUUAGGGGAUCGAAGACGAUCAGAUACCGUCGUAGUCUUAACCAUAAACUAUGCCGACU